GACGAACGCUGGCGGCGUGCUUAACACAUGCAAGUCGAACGGAAAGGCCCUGCUUUUGUGGGGUGCUCGAGUGGCGAACGGGUGAGUAACACGUGAGUAACCUGCCCUUGACUUUGGGAUAACUUCAGGAAACUGGGGCUAAUACCGGAUAGGAGCUCCUGCUGCAUGGUGGGGGUUGGAAAGUUUCGGCGGUUGGGGAUGGACUCGCGGCUUAUCAGCUUGUUGGUGGGGUAGUGGCUUACCAAGGCUUUGACGGGUAGCCGGCCUGAGAGGGUGACCGGCCACAUUGGGACUGAGAUACGGCCCAGACUCCUACGGGAGGCAGCAGUGGGGAAUAUUGCACAAUGGGCGGAAGGCUGAUGCAGCAACGCCGCGUGCGGGAUGACGGCCUUCGGGUUGUAAACCGAUUUCGCCUGUGACGAAGCGUGAGUGACGGUAAUGGGUAAAGAAGCACCGGCUAACUACGUG
rnacentral:rRNA from 1 species